GGUUGACCUCGAAUCAGGUAGGACUACCCGCUGAACUUAAGCAUAUCAAU
rnacentral:rRNA from 1 species